UACGGAGGGUGCAAGCGUUAAUCGGAAUUACUGGGCGUAAAGCGCGCGUAGGCGGUUUUUUAAGUCGGAUGUGAAAGCCCCGGGCUCAACCUGGGAACUGCAUCCGAUACUGGAAGACUAGAAUGCGGGAGAGGGAGGUAGAAUUCCGUGUGUAGCAGUGAAGUGCGUAGAUAUAUGGAGGAAUACCAGUGGCGAAGGCGGCCUCCUGGCUCGACAUUGACGCUGAGGUGCGAAAGCGUGGGGAGCAAACGGG
rnacentral:rRNA from 1 species